rnacentral:rRNA from 1 species
UACGGAGGGUGCGAGCGUUAAUCGGAAUUACUGGGCGUAAAGGGUGCGUAGGUGGUUGCAUAAGUUAUCUGUGAAAUUCCUGGGCUUAACCUGGGGUGGUCAGAUAAGACUGUGUGACUCGAGUAUGGGAGAGGGUAGUGGAAUUUCCGGUGUAGCGGUGAAAUGCGUAGAGAUCGGAAGGAACACCAGUGGCGAAGGCGGCUACCUGGCCUAAUACUGACACUGAGGCACGAAAGCGUGGGGAGCAAACAGG